rnacentral:rRNA from 1 species
UAUUUCGUUCGGUUCGCGUGAGGUGAGCCUGCCCAGUGACUAAGUUUAACGGCCGCGGUACCCUAACCGUGCGAAGGUAGCAUAAUCACUUGUUCUUUAAUUGGGGACUCGUAUCAACGGCAUCACGAAGGCUGCACUGUCUCCUUUCUCUAAUCAGUGAAACUGAUUUCCCCGUGAAGAAGCGGGGAUAAAAUUAUAAGACGAGAAGACCCCAUGGAGCUUCAAACUCACUAUACAACUCUGUUCUCCAUACCCAUUAAUUCAAGAGAUAUGUGUAUUAGUUUUGGGUUGGGGGGACCUCGGAGUAUAACUUAACCUCCGAAACAAAUAGGUUAACACCUUUAUCCAUGAGAAACACCUCUAAGAAUUACUAAACUAAUGCUUUUGAUCCGAUAAUCGAUCAAUGAACCAAGUUACCCUGGGGAUAACAGCGCAAUCUACUUCAAGAGUUCAUAUCGACAAGUGGGUUUACGACCUCGAUGUUGGAUCAGGGUAUCCUAGUGGUGCAACCGCUACUAAUGGUUCGUUUGUUCAACGAUUAAAACCCUACGUGAUCUGAUUCAAAACCGGGA